CAGUCGCCACGGGAAUACGUAGGGUGCGAGCGUUAAUCGGAAUUACUGGGCGUAAAGCGUGCGCAGGCGGUUUUGUAAGACAGGCGUGAAAUCCCCGGGCUCAACCUGGGAAUGGCGCUUGUGACUGCAAAGCUAGAGUGCGGCAGAGGGGGAUGGAAUUCCGCGUGUAGCAGUGAAAUGCGUAGAUAUGCGGAGGAACACCGAUGGCGAAGGCAAUCCCCUGGGCCUGCACUGACGCUCAUGCACGAAAGCGUGGGGAGCAAACAGGAUUAGAUACCCGCGUAGUCCCUGUCUCUUAUAC
rnacentral:rRNA from 1 species